UGCCCAGCAACUCCUAUCCCUACCUCCUAGUGGUACCGGCCGGAAACUACGAGCAACCUUAGGGAAGAUCGGGUAACCAAUCCCGGUGGGAACUUUGGUCAUAGGAUGACAGGGAAGG
rfam:Aedes albopictus isolate Foshan contig57820, whole genome shotgun sequence.